rnacentral:tRNA from 1 species
GGCCGGCUGGCCCAAUGUGGUAAGGCGCUUGACUACGAAUCAAGAGAUUGCAGGUUCGACCCCUGCGUCGGUCA